CAUUCCAUGGCCAAACUGGUUAAGGCAUUGCCGAUGAGACGAAGAUGCGGGUUCGAGUCCCGCUGGAACUG
rnacentral:tRNA from 1 species